UGUAAGCGUAUACCAAAGUUGUUGCAGUUAAAACGCUCGUAGUCGGAAUUUGGCAGUUCCGGAUGUGUGCACGUCGUGUGCGCACUUCGCGGGGAUUGCUUUUGUGGUCUUGCGUAGGAUGAGGCACUUUUAUUAGUGAACGUCCUCACGCAACCACUUUUUACUGUGAGAAAAUCAGAGUGCUCAAAGCAGGCAUUUGCCGGUAAUGUAUUAGCAUGGAAUAAUAGAAUAGGACUUGGUUCUAUUUUGUUGGUUUGUUGGGACUGAGUAAUGAUUAAGAGGGACAGUUGGGGGCAUUUGUAUUUCGGUGCUAGAGGUGAAAUUCUUAGAUUACCGAAAGACAAACUGCUGCGAAAGCGUCUGCCAAGGAUGUUUUCAUUGA
rnacentral:rRNA from 1 species